ACUGGGAGUUUGGCAAGCUCCUGUAACCCAGCUACUUGGGGGUCGGGUUCUGUGGAUGGCUUGAGGUCGGGAGUCCUGGGAUAGCAUUACUCACGUUGACUGGGUGUCCGCACUAAGCUCGGCAUCAAUAUGGACAUCUCGGAGGAGUCCGAGAUGGCCAGGUUGGCCAAGGAGGGGCGAACCGGGCCAGGAGGGAAACCUAGCAGCCAAAAGUCCCCGUGUCGAGCAGUAGUGGGAUCGCGCCCGGGAGUGAGGAUGUUAUAACAGCCCGAUCAAAACAGCUAGACCAAAACCUUU
rnacentral:SRP_RNA from 1 species